rnacentral:rRNA from 1 species
GUCAGAGGAUGCAAGCGUUAUCCGGAAUUAUUGGGCGUAAAGCGUCUGUAGGUGGCUUUUUAAGUUCGCCGGCAAAUCCCAGGGCUCAACUCUGGACAGGUGGUGGAAACUACCAAGCUAGAGUACGGUAGGGGCAGAGGGAAUUUCCGGUGGAGCGAUGAAAUGCGUAGAGAUCGGAAGGAACACCCAAGGCGAAAGCACUCUGCUGGGCCGACACUGACACUGAGAGACGAAAGCUAGGGGAGCAAAUGGG